UCGAGCGCGAAAGGCCUUCGGGCUGAGUAGAGCGGCGGACGGGUGAGUAACGCGUAGGAAUCUACCUGGUAGUGGGGGACAACAUGGUGAAAACCAUGCUAAUACCGCAUACGCCCUAAGGGGGAAAGCGGGGGACCUUCGGGCCUCGCGCUAUCAGAUGAGCCUGCGUAGGAUUAGCUUGUUGGUGAGGUAAAGGCUCACCAAGGCGACGAUCCUUAGCUGGUCUGAGAGGAUGAUCAGCCACACUGGAACUGAGACACGGUCCAGACUCCUACGGGAGGCAGCAGUGGGGAAUAUUGCGCAAUGGGCGAAAGCCUGACGCAGCCAUGUCGCGUGUGUGAAGAAGGCCUUCGGGUUGUAAAGCACUUUCAAUUGGGAAGAAAGGUUGCGUGUUAAUAGCACGUAGCUGUGACGUUACCUUUAGAAGAAGCACCGGCUAACUCCGUGCCAGCAGCCGCGGUAAUACGGAGGGUGCGAGCGUUAAUCGGAAUUACUGGGCGUAAAGCGCGCGUAGGCGGUUUGUUAAGUCGGAUGUGAAAUCCCCGGGCUCAACCUGGGAA
rnacentral:rRNA from 1 species